ensembl:lncRNA
AAAAUAGAAAUAAAAAAGAGACAGAAAAAUAUGAAAAAAAGAAAAAGAAAAAAAGAAAAGAAAAAAACAGUAGAUGAAAAAAGAAAAAACAAAAGGAAAAACGAAUAAUGACAAGAGAAGAAAGGUAAAGAGAAAAGAAGAAAAAAGCCAAGUCAAAAAGUAAAGAAUAACUCGAAGGAAGGAGUGGAUGGCAAGAAAUACAGAGAAAGCAGUGCAUAGCACAGCAGAGCAAAGCAAGGCAAAAUAGCAGCCAAAGCCACGAGAAUCAAGAAGUCAGUGAAGAGCAGGAAAGGAAUGGAGGAAUCUGUCCAGAGCUGUGCCCCUGCUUGCCACAGGAGCUGCGCGGGAGGAGAAGAACGUGGGCCAAAAGGUAAGAGGAGCUCCUUUGGGUUCUGGGCUUGAAGCAAAGCUGAGAAGCCAUGCCCGGGAGGAGGUGUGGGUAGCUACAGGCCACCUUGCUAUCUCCCCAAGAGAUGAGGUGUGUGGGCUAGGCACCGGGCAGGAGUGCUGGCCAGAAGCAAGCAUCUCUGUGGAGGAAGGCAAAGGGCGGAGGAGGUUCAAGGGUAGCUACCGGGCAUGGCCUUGCUCAGCAAGGGGAGGAAAAGCCUGAAGGGCACGAGAAGGGGAUAGAGAAGGG